rnacentral:rRNA from 1 species
AUUGAACGCUGGCGGAAUGCUUUACACAUGCAAGUCGAGCGGCAGCACGGGGGCAACCCUGGUGGCGAGCGGCGAACGGGUGAGUAAUACAUCGGAACAUGCCCAGUCGUGGGGGAUAACACUUCGAAAGAAGUGCUAAUACCGCAUACGUCCUGAGGGAGAAAGCGGGGGAUCGCAAGACCUCGCGCGAUUGGAGUGGCCGAUGUCAGAUUAGCUAGUUGGUGGGGUAAAGGCCUACCAAGGCAACGAUCUGUAGCUGGUCUGAGAGGAUGAUCAGCCACACUGGGACGGAGACACGGCCCAGACUCCUACGGGAGGCAGCAGUGGGGAAUUUUGGACAAUGGGGGCAACCCUGAUCCAGCCAUUCCGCGUGAGUGAAGAAGGCCUUCGGGUUGUAAAGCUCUUUCGGCAGGAACGAAACGGCGAGCUCUAACAUAGCUUGCUAAUGACGGUACCUGAAGAAGAAGCACCGGCUAACUACG